CCUACGGGAGGCAGCAGUGAGGAAUAUUGGUCAAUGGGCGCAAGCCUGAACCAGCCAUGCCGCGUGCAGGACGACGCAUCUAUGGUGUGUAAACUGCUUUUGUACGGGAAGAAACCCUGCCACGUGUGGCAGAUUGACGGUACCGUAAGAAUAAGGAUCGGCUAACUCCGUGCCAGCAGCCGCGGUAAUACGGAGGAUCCAAGCGUUAUCCGGAAUCAUUGGGUUUAAAGGGUCCGUAGGCGGUUUUAUAAGUCAGUGGUGAAAUCCGGCAGCUCAACUGUCGAACUGCCAUUGAUACUGUAGGACUUGAAUUAUUGUGAAGUAACUAGAAUAUGUAGUGUAGCGGUGAAAUGCUUAGAUAUUACAUGGAAUACCCAUUGCGAAGGCAGGUUACUAACAAUAUAUUGACGCUGAUGGACGAAAGCGUGGGGAGCGAACAGGAUUAGAUACCCUGGUAGUCCACGCCGUAAACGAUGGAUACUAGCUGUUCGGAUGNAUAUNGUGNGUAGACGAAGAGAUAGUAUCCACCGNGGAGGACGACGUAAGUUAGUAACGUACGAAUAGAGUAGAGACGUGAGAGNGCGACGGACGACGACGAGGGAGGAGG
rnacentral:rRNA from 1 species